rnacentral:lncRNA from 1 species
AAAUUAAGACACGCACAAAUAAUCCAGAUUUUGGGAUCCAUCUCAAGAUACCUAGUACGACAUUAAUUCCUAGUCUUUGGACAGAGAAAUUAACUGUAAUUGGUACUCUUGGUGCAAUGAUAAAACAUUGACAAUCAAUUCUGUCAAAUAAUAGCCUUUCUUUGGACCGACUAUUAUUCACAUGAAAUGUCUUUAUAAUUGUCACACAUUUAUCAUCACAAGCACGUUGUUAUUUGGCCAAAUUGUGUCUUCCUUUGGGCCGAGCACAAUUCGCAUAAAUAACUCCGUACAAAACAUCUAUGUAUUUUCAAUUAAAUCAAUCUACAC